rnacentral:tRNA from 1 species
GGUGGGUUGGUUCAGUGGUUAGAGCGUAGGUCUCGUAACCGAAAGGUUGCGGGAUCGAAUCCCGCUAGAGGCUG